AGGGAUCAUUACCGAGUUUACAACUCCCAAACCCAAUGUGAACCAUACCAAACUGUUGCCUCGGCGGGGUCACGCCCCGGGUGCGUCGCAGCCCCGGAACCAGGCGCCCGCCGGAGGGACCAACCAAACUCUUUUCUGUAGUCCCCUCGCGGACGUUAUUUCUUACAGCUCUGAGCAAAAAUUCAAAAUGAAUCAAAACUUUCAACAACGGAUCUCUUGGUUCUGGCAUCGAUGAAGAACGCAGCGAAAUGCGAUAUGUAAUGUGAAUUGCAGAAUUCAGUGAAUCAUCGAAUCUUUGAACGCACAUUGCGCCCGCCAGUAUUCUGGCGGGCAUGCCUGUCCGAGCGUCAUUUCAACCCUCGAACCCCUCCGGGGGGUCGGCGUUGGGGAUCGGGAACCCCUAAGACGGGAUCCCGGCCCCGAAAUACAGUGGCGGUCUCGCCGCAGCCUCUCCUGCGCAGUAGUUUGCACAACUCGCACCGGGAGCGCGGCGCGUCCACGUCCGUAAAACACCCAACUUCUGAAAUGUUGACCUCGGAUCAGGUAGGAAUACCCGCUGAACUUAA
rnacentral:rRNA from 1 species